rnacentral:rRNA from 1 species
UACGUAGGGUGCGAGCGUUGUCCGGAAUUAUUGGGCGUAAAGAGCUCGUAGGCGGCCUGUUGCGUCUGCUGUGAAAGCCCGGGGCUUAACCCCGGGUCUGCAGUGGAUACGGGCAGGCUAGAGUUCGGCAGGGGAGACUGGAAUUCCUGGUGUAGCGGUGAAAUGCGCAGAUAUCAGGAGGAACACCCGUGGCGAAAGCGGCUCUCUGGGACGGUACUGACGCUGAGACGCGAAAGCGUGGGGAGCAAACAGG